rnacentral:ncRNA from 10 species
ACAGUACAUCAAGAGUUGUUCAUUAAUGAACACGGCAACCUGGGAUUGACACCCAAGGUGCCACUAGCCGAAGGGUUAGGAUGGGGUUUAGCCGAAAGCUAAGCAAAAAAGUGUGAGAAA